rnacentral:rRNA from 1 species
UAGGGAAGCGUCGGCAAUGGACGAAAGUCUGACCGAGCAACGCCGCGUGAGGGAAGAAGGUUGUGGGAUCGUAAAACGCUGUUGUUAGAGAAGAACAAGGACGUUAGAAAAUGAACGUCCCCUGACGGUAGCUAACCAGAAAGCCACGGAUAACGACGUGCCAGCAGCCGCGGUAAUACGUAGGUGGCAAGCGUUGUCCGGAUUUAUUGGGCGUAAAGCGAGCGCAGGCGGUUUCUUAAGUCUGAUGUGAAAGCCCCCGGCUCAACCGGGGAGGGUCAUUGGAAACUGGGAGACUUGAGUGCAGAAGAGGAGAGUGGAAUUCCAUGUGUAGCGGUGAAAUGCGUAGAUAUAUGGAGGAACACCAGUGGCGAAGGCGGCUCUCUGGUCUGUAACUGACGCUGAGGCUCGAAAGCGUGGGGAGCAAACAGG